rnacentral:lncRNA from 1 species
GCGGCCUGCCAGGGGGUGAUGGAGUCGCGUGGAGUCUGUCGCAGGAGGUGGAGCAGAGUCAUGGCCAUUGCUGCGGCCUGUCAGGGAAUCCAGGCCUAUCGACCAGAGUUCGACUGGGGUGUCUGACGGAGAGAGGUGGCUAGCUACCCGUCUGAGAGGAGUUGGGAGUCUGGCUCUUGCAGGAGCCCGGGCGGAGUUCGCCUGCAAUUAGA